GUAGGUGGCAAGCGUUGUCCGGAAUUAUUGGGCGUAAAGCGCGCGCAGGUGGUUCUUUAAGUCUGAUGUGAAAGCCCCCGGCUCAACCGGGGAGGGUCAUUGGAAACUGGGGAACUUGAGUGCAGGAGAGGAAAGUGGAAUUCCACGUGUAGCGGUGAAAUGCGUAGAUAUGUGGAGGAACACCAGUGGCGAAGGCGACUUUCUGGCCUGUAACUGACACUGAGGCGCGAAAGCGUGGGGAGCAAACAGGAUUAGAUACCCUGGUAGUCCAUGCCGUAAACGAUGAGUGCUAAGUGUUGGGGGGGUUUCCCGCCCCUCAGUGCUGCAGCUAACGCAUUAAGCACUCCGCCUGGGGAGUACGGUCGCAAGACUG
rnacentral:rRNA from 1 species